CUUUCUUAAAAAAAACAACAACUUUGUGCCUUAACUGUAAUUAUUUAAUGAAUAAUUAUUCAAUAAAUCAUAACACUAAAUGUUAAUGGAAUAAUUUUAAUAAUUGAUGCAAUGCCACUUGUCAAAAUAAAUAAGUUUUUAGAAUUUCAUUAAAGACAGUCAAAAAAGAUUUUAUAUUUACUAAAAAGAAUUGGAAUUUUUUUCAUUUCUAACUAUGAGAUUACUACUAAUGAGAUUACUCUUUUGCCUUUUUCACAAGAAGAUACUGCUAGCUACAGCUAUACAGUUAUUGAAUUUGUUUCAUUUUACCUAGGGAUAAGGAGACUCUUUACAAACACAUAUUGAUGAUAAAGAAAUAACUGGAAGUGAAAAGGAAAGGAAAAGUAAAGUUUUAUCACCAUUCAUGUAUCUAACUUUGUAUAUGAUUUGGGUAUGAACGGAAUGAGAAAGGAACAUCACCAAGUAAGUAAUCACAGGCCUUCCUAAUCCCUCUCAAAAUCUGUCUCAACUCUCCCUUACAACCCUUCUACAAUUCAGUGUAAAGGAACAUGCUCACAGCUAUUCUGACAGAGCACAGGGAGAAAAGUGGCAGUCAGAAAAAAACCUCUGGUUUGAGUCUCUCUCUACUCUAGAAACACCCCCUCUAUCGUUCUGGUUUAUAAUGCCCUUUCUCUGAAACAUCCCUUUCCUACCACUCCCAUAUGGAAAUUUCCAUGCCUGAUUAACUGAAAAGAAGAAAAGGCCAUCCCAUUGCUUACAAAAAUAAUUUCAUAAUUCAAUCUAUUUAGCCUUCCUUGUAUUACUUAAGGUUCUUAGCUCAAUACCAGGCAAAGGGUCAACAUCAAACUGCACUUGGGAUUCAGUGAAGACCUCAACCCAACUAAUUACAGCAUUAAAAUCUCCAGGGGACAUGUCUUUUUUGUUUUCCAUAUUUACAGAGGAAGAAGGAAUUAAAGAGUAAUUAUUUAGAUUCUUCUUUACUCAUUGAUACCUUAAUUUCAAGCAUUAUAUUCCCACCACAUUCUAUAGUAUUUUAGGUACACAUUCCAGUCAUAUACUCCUUUUUAUGAAUCCAAUUGGGGUUUUCUUGGCAAAGAAACUAGAGUGGUUACCAUUUCC
rnacentral:lncRNA from 1 species